rnacentral:rRNA from 1 species
AACGAACGCUGGCGGCGCGCCUAAUACAUGCAAGUCGAGCGAGAAGACGUAGCAAUACGUUUGUAAAGCGGCGAACGGGUGAGGAAUACAUGGGUAACCUACCCUCGAGUGGGGAAUAACUAGCCGAAAGGUUAGCUAAUACCGCGUACGCUUCUUGGACUUCGGUUCAGGGAGGAAAGCGAUACCGUGGGUAUCGCGCUCUUGGAUGGGCUCAUGUCCUAUCAGCUUGUUGGUGAGGUAACGGCUCACCAAGGCUUCGACGGGUAGCUGGUCUGAGAGGACGAUCAGCCACACUGGCACUGCGACACGGGCCAGACUCCUACGGGAGGCAGCAGUAAGGAAUAUUGCGCAAUGGGCGAAAGCCUGACGCAGCGACGCCGCGUGGGGGAUGAAGGUCUUCGGAUUGUAAACCCCUUUCGGGAGGGAAGAUGGAACGAGCAAUCGUUCGGACGGUACCUCCAGAAGCAGCCACGGCUAACUUCGUGCCAGCAGCCGCAGUAAGAC